rnacentral:rRNA from 1 species
GCUCCAGACUCCUACGGGAGGCAGCAGUGGGGAAUAUUGCACAAUGGGCGAAAGCCUGAUGCAGCGACGCCGCGUGAGUGAAGAAGUAUUUCGGUCUGUAAAGCUCUAUCAGCAGGGAAGAAAAUGACGGUACCUGACUAAGAAGCCCCGGCUAACUACGUGCCAGCAGCCGCGGUAAUACGGAGGAUCCGAGCGUUAUCCGGAUUCAUUGGGUUUAAAGGGUGCGUAGGUUGUUUUAUAAGUUAGCGGUGAAAUACCGAUGCUCAACAUCGGGGCUGCCGCUAAUACUGUAGGACUAGAGAUCGGAUGCAGCAGGCGGAAUGUGUAGUGUAGCGGUGAAAUGCAUAGAUAUUACACAGAACACCGAUUGCGAAGGCAGCUUGCUAGGCCGGAUCUGACACUGAUGCACGAAAGCGUGGGGAUCGAACAGGAUUAGAUACCCGCGUA